GGAAGUAAAAGUCGUAACAAGGUCUCCGUUGGUGAACCAGCGGAGGGAUCAUUACCGAGUUUACAACUCCCAAACCCAAUGUGAACGUUACCAAACUGUUGCCUCGGCGGGAUCUCUGCCCCGGGUGCGUCGCAGCCCCGGACCAAGGCGCCCGCCGGAGGACCAACCAAAACUCUUUUUGUAUACCCCCUCGCGGGUUUUUUUAUAAUCUGAGCCUUCUCGGCGCCUCUCGUAGGCGUUUCGAAAAUGAAUCAAAACUUUCAACAACGGAUCUCUUGGUUCUGGCAUCGAUGAAGAACGCAGCGAAAUGCGAUAAGUAAUGUGAAUUGCAGAAUUCAGUGAAUCAUCGAAUCUUUGAACGCACAUUGCGCCCGCCAGUAUUCUGGCGGGCAUGCCUGUCCGAGCGUCAUUUCAACCCUCGAACCCCUCCGGGGGGUCGGCGUUGGGGAUCGGCCCUGCCUCUUGGCGGUGGCCGUCUCCGAAAUACAGUGGCGGUCUCGCCGCAGCCUCUCCUGCGCAGUAGUUUGCACACUCGCAUCGGGAGCGCGGCGCGUCCACAGCCGUUAAACACCCAACUUCUGAAAUGUUGACCUCGGAUCAGGUAGGAAUACCCGCUGAACUUAAGCAUAUCAAUAAGCGGAGGA
rnacentral:rRNA from 2 species